GGUAGCUGCGGCAGGCUUAACACAUGCAAGUCGAGGGGUAGGGGAAGCUUGCUUCCUUGAGACCGGCGCACGGGUGCGUAACGCGUAUGCAACCUACCUUUUACAGAGGGAUAGCCCAGAGAAAUUUGGAUUAAUACCUCAUGGUAUAUAUCAUUCGCAUGUUUGAUAUAUUAAAGUUCCAACGGUAAAAGAUGGGCAUGCGUCCUAUUAGCUAGAUGGUAAGGUAACGGCUUACCAUGGCAACGAUAGGUAGGGGUCCUGAGAGGGAGAUCCCCCACACUGGUACUGAGACACGGACCAGACUCCUACGGGAGGCAGCAGUGAGGAAUAUUGGACAAUGGGCGCAAGCCUGAUCCAGCCAUGCCGCGUGCAGGAAGAAGCAUCUAUGGUGUGUAAACUGCUUUUGUACGGGAAGAAACACUCCUUCGUGAAGGAGCUUGACGGUACCGUAAGAAUAAGGAUCGGCUAACUCCGUGCCAGCAGCCGCGGUAAUACGGAGGAUCCAAGCGUUAUCCGGAAUCAUUGGGUUUAAAGGGUCCGUAGGCGGUUUGGUAAGUCAGUGGUGAAAGUCCGCAGCUCAACUGUGGAACGGCCAUUGAUACUGCCAGACUUGAAUUACAAGGAAGUAACUAGAAUAUGUAGUGUAGCGGUGAAAUGCUUAGAUAUUACAUGGAAUACCAAUUGCGAAGGCAGGUUACUACUUGUGGAUUGACGCUGAUGGACGAAAGCGUGGGGAGCGAACAGGAUUAGAUACCCUGGUAGUCCACGCCGUAAACGAUGGAUACUAGCUGUUGGGGGCAACUUCAGUGGCUAAGCGAAAGUGAUAAGUAUCCCACCUGGGGAGUACGUUCGCAAGAAUGAAACUCAAAUGAAUUGACGGAAGGGCGAAUUCCAGC
rnacentral:rRNA from 1 species